rnacentral:lncRNA from 1 species
CAUGCAUACAUACAUACACACGUAUAUACACACAUACACACGUAUAUACAUAUGAGGAUUAUUUCUGUGGCGCAUCUUUUACGUUCGAGGAUGUUGAAGUCGGAAAGUCUGCCAAGGGUCUCUUAAUUACUUCUAAACCAACUUAAAACACACACGGACACACAAAUACUUGAACGAGACCUUGAGAUAAAGGUACCAAGGAAGAUAACGUGCAAGUGCGCUAUGACGUCUUCUUACAAUGGAAUAUCAUAUUCUCAUUAAAGAACUUUUACUACUCGUCCAAGAGUCGCCAGUGCUUUACCAAUGUACUUUGAGUUUCAACAUUACAGUUGCUUUUGGUAAAAUCAUUUCCAGCUCGUGUACUCUAAUGAUUUUCUAGAAACGUCGAUCACACUGCUUAUUGUGCUUCUCUCUGGAAGGAAACUAUUGGCUUACCUUGAAGUUCGUUGUUGCAGAUAAAUGUGCUUAAAUCGAAAGAGCAAAAAACGUUUCAAAACAUUCAAGUACGAAACAUAAGUUCCAGUGCCACGUUGCUCUCGUGGAAUUGAAAGGAAUUGAACUGAGAUCAACAUUAGUGAAUCAAUUCUAUUUUUAAUGGUAUGAACCUACGGAGUUAAAAACUGAAAUUUAUCUGUAUUAUCAAAUGUAUUAGGA